GGAGGGUGCAAGCGUUGUCCGGAAUCAUUGGGCGUAAAGAGUUCGUAGGUGGCAUAUUAAGUCUGGUGUUAAAGGCAGAAGCUCAACUUCUGUUCGGCACUGGAUACUGGUAAGCUUGAAUGCGGUAGAGGUAAAGGGAAUUCCUGGUGUAGCGGUGAAAUGCGUAGAUAUCAGGAGGAACAUCGGUGGCGUAAGCGCUUUACUGGGCCGUAAUUGACACUGAGGAACGAAAGCCGGGGUAGCAAA
rnacentral:rRNA from 1 species